AUUGAACGCUGGCGGCAGGCCUAACACAUGCAAGUCGAGCGGAUGAAGGGAGCUUGCUCCUGGAUUCAGCGGCGGACGGGUGAGUAAUGCCUAGGAAUCUGCCUGGUAGUGGGGGAUAACGUCCGGAAACGGGCGCUAAUACCGCAUACGUCCUGAGGGAGAAAGUGGGGGAUCUUCGGACCUCACGCUAUCAGAUGAGCCUAGGUCGGAUUAGCUAGUUGGUGGGGUAAAGGUCUACCAAGGCGACGAUCCGUAACUGGUCCGAGAGGAUGAUCAGUCACACUGGAACUGAGACACGGUCCAGACUCCUACGGGAGGCAGCAGUGGGGAAUAUUGGACAAUGGGCGAAAGCCUGAUCCAGCCAUGCCGCGUGUGUGAAGAAGGUCUUCGGAUUGUAAAGCACUUUAAGUUGGGAGGAAGGGCAGUAAGUUAAUACCUUACUGUUUUGACGUUACCAACAGAAUAAGCACCGGCUAACUUCGUG
rnacentral:rRNA from 1 species